GGCUCUUUGAGUAACUAAAAUAUAGAGAGUCGAGCCUGCCCAGUGAGUUUUCAACGGCCGCGGUACUCUGACCGUGCAAAGGUAGCAUAAUCAUUUGCCCUAUAAUUGAGGGCUAGUAUGAAUGGUUUGACAAGAGCAAGACUGUCUCUUUAAAAUUUAAUAGAAUUUAGUUUUCGGAUGAAGAAAUUCGAAUAAAAUUGAAAGACAAGAAGACCCUAUCGAGCUUUAAAGUACUUUACUAAGAAAUGUUCAGUAAUAAAUCAACUUUAGUAAAAAAUUUUGGUUGGGGCGACUGAGGAACAAAAAAAGCUUCUUUUUAACCGAUGAACCUAUAAGUUUUGAUCCAGAAAUUCUGAUUAAAAAAAUUAGUUACCGUAGGGAUAACAGCAUAAUCUUCUUCAAGAGUCCUUAUCGAAAAGAAGGUUUGUGACCUCGAUGUUGGACUAGGAUAAUCCUAAAGAUGUAGAAG
rnacentral:rRNA from 1 species